rnacentral:rRNA from 1 species
UUUCUCUGGUUCUCCAUUGAGGAAGUAAAAGUCGUAACAAGGUUUCCGUAGGUGAACCUGCGGAAGGAUCAUUAAAUAAUUUAGAUGGCCUUUGCUAGUUUUCUAGCGAAUGGUUCAUUCUUUUUUACUGUGAACUGUUUUAAUUUUUCAGCGUCUGAGGAAUGUCUUUUAGCCAUAGGGAUAGGCUACUAGAAUGUUAACCGAGCUGAAAGUCAGGCUUAGGCCUGGUAUCCUAUUAAUUAUUUACCAAAAGAAUUCAGUAUUAUAAUUGUAACAUAAGCGUAAAAAACUUAUAAAACAACUUUUAACAACGGAUCUCUUGGUUCUCGCAUCGAUGAAGAACGUAGCAAAGUGCGAUAACUAGUGUGAAUUGCAUAUUCAGUGAAUCAUCGAGUCUUUGAACGCAACUUGCGCUCAAUGGUAUUCCAUUGAGCACGCCUGUUUCAGUAUCAAAAACACCCCACAUUCAUAAUUUUGUUGUGAAUGGAAUUGAGAGUUUCGGCUUUAUUGCUGAAUUCUUUAAAAUUAUUAGGCCUGAACUAUUGUUCUUUCUGCCUGAACAUUUUUUUAAUAUAAAGGAAUGCUCUAGUAAAAAGACUAUCUCUGGGGCCUCCCAAAUAAAUCAUUCUUAAAUUUGAUCUGAAAUCAGGCGGGAUUACCCGCUGAACUUAAGCAUAUCAAAACGGGAAGGAA